AAGGUUAACCGAAUAGGGGAGCCGGAGGGAAACCGAGUCUUAAUUGGGCGUUAAGUUGCAGGGUAUAGACCCGAAACCCGGUGAUCUAGCCAUGGGCAGGUUGAAGGUUGGGUAACACUAACUGGAGGACCGAACCGACUAAUGUUGAAAAAUUAGCGGAUGACCUGUGGCUGGGGGUGAAAGGCCAAUCAAACCGGGAGAUAGCUGGUUCUCCCCGAAAGCUAUUUAGGUAGCGCCUCGUGAAUUCAUCUCCGGGGGUAGAGCACUGUUUCGGCUAGGGGGCCAUCCCGGCUUACCAACCCGAUGCAAACUGCGAAUACCGGAGAAUGUUAUCACGGGAGACACACGGCGGGUGCUAACGUCCGUCGUGAAGAGGGAAACAACCCAGACCGCCAGCUAAGGUCCCAAAGUCAUGGUUAAGUGGGAAACGAUGUGGGAAGGCCCAGACAGCCAGGAUGUUGGCUUAGAAGCAGCCAUCAUUUAAAGAAAGCGUAAUAGCUCACUGGUCGAGUCGGCCUGCGCGGAAGAUGUAACGGGGCUAAACCAUGCACCGAAGCUGCGGCAGCGACACUGUGUGUUGUUGGGUAGGGGAGCGUUCUGUAAGCCUGUGAAGGUGUGUCGUGAGGCAUGCUGGAGGUAUCAGAAGUGCGAAUGCUGACAUAAGUAACGAUAAAGCGGGUGAAAAGCCCGCUCGCCGGAAGACCAAGGGUUCCUGUCCAACGUUAAUCGGGGCAGGGUGAGUCGACCCCUAAGGCGAGGCCGAAAGGCGUAGUCGAUGGGAAACGGGUUAAUAUUCCCGUACUUGGUGUUACUGCGAAGGGGGGACGGAGAAGGCUAUGUUGGCCGGGCGACGGUUGUCCCGGUUUAAGCGUGUAGGUGUGUGUUCCAGGUAAAUCCGGUUCACUUUAACACUGAGGCGUGACGACGAGGCACUACGGUGCUGAAGCAACAAAUGCCCUGCUUCCAGGAAAAGCCUCUAAGCAUCAGGUAACAUCAAAUCGUACCCCAAACCGACACAGGUGGUCA
rnacentral:rRNA from 1 species